GAGGCAGAGAAGAGUCUCUCCAGAUCAGAACACCAGAUGGACAACACCAGCCCUUCCGCCCUCCCAGAGUCCCCGUGUCGUACCUCUCCCAGUAGCACCUUACUGCUGGGUCUGAAGAGGUUGUCUGUACGGCUGGUGGACUGCAGG